rnacentral:rRNA from 1 species
GGAGGAUUCAAGCGUUAUCCGGAUUUAUUGGGUUUAAAGGGUGCGUAGGCGGUCUGAUAAGUUAGAGGUGAAAUCCCGGGGCUUAACUCCGGAAUUGCCUCUGAUACUGUUGGGCUAGAGAGUAGUUGCGGUAGGCGGAAUGUAUGGUGUAGCGGUGAAAUGCUUAGAGAUCAUACAGAACACCGAUUGCGAAGGCAGCUUACCAAACUAUAUCUGACGUUGAGGCACGAAAGCGUGGGGAGCAAACAGGAUUAGAUACCCUGGUAGUCCACGCAGUAAACGAUGAUAACUCGCUGUCGGCGAUACACAGUCGGUGGCUAAGCGAAAGCGAUAAGUUAUCCACCUGGGGAGU